AACCUGCGUCCCCUCAUUCUUAAAGAUGAGCUACACACAGACGAAAAAAAAAGGAGGAGAGGGAGUGGUUGCGCUUUUUUUUCUUCUGGAUUCGACGCACAGAGCACAACUUUUCUUCCUCCAUAAAUGACCCAAAAAAAAAAUCCCAGCUCAAACCUAGCAGAAAUUCAACCCCCAAAAAACGCAUCUGCCCCUUUUCCAUAACCACGCUUUCUCGAAAUUUUCUGGACAAAAGAUCUCUUCAAGUUUUCCGGCGCCGUUCGAGUGUUGUUACUGGUUCGCGGUUCUGUCCGAAUUCAAUAGUCGAUUCUCGUCCGCAUUUUGGAGUCGAAAACAGUGUAUCCGUUUGGUUCUGCAACUGCUAUUAAGGAAAUUUUGUCCUAACAGGGUCUUGAAUUCUCUGUUCGUGUUAGUGCUGAAUUGAGCGAGGAGGAGCAAUUUAGGAAAAAAAAAGUGUGUGUUAGAAAGUAGGUAAAUAACUCGGUCAUAAUUUUAGCUCCAAGGAUGGAACGCAAUUGAAAGCACAAAUUGAUCGGGUGGGGUAGUAUCUUUAAGGGCUCUUCCGAUAACUUUGAUCUUUUACCUUUCUUAGCACCUGUAUUCUUUAAGUGAUUGAAUGUGUGCUUAUCUAGAUUUAUCCUGUAUUUUCGCCAUUUGUAUGUAGAAUGUGAAUUGCUUGUUGGUUUGUGGGAGUUGGGAAAGACUUAGCCCAUUAGUAAUCAAAUAUUUUUGGCAUGUUUUAGGAAUUGGGCUCGGUCCAAACACAUGAAAAAUGAAAAGUCAAAAGAAUUUUAGCAUGAUUUAGAAAUUUUCUUUUA